GAUGAACGCUGGCGGCGUGCCUAAUACAUGCAAGUCGAGCGAACAGACGAGGAGCUUGCUCCUCUGACGUUAGCGGCGGACGGGUGAGUAACACGUGGAUAACCUACCUAUAAGACUGGGAUAACUUCGGGAAACCGGAGCUAAUACCGGAUAAUAUAUUGAACCGCAUGGUUCAAUAGUGAAAGACGGUUUUGCUGUCACUUAUAGAUGGAUCCGCGCCGCAUUAGCUAGUUGGUAAGGUAACGGCUUACCAAGGCAACGAUGCGUAGCCGACCUGAGAGGGUGAUCGGCCCCCCUGGACCUGAGCCACGGUCCAACCCCCUACGGGAGGCAGCAGUGGGGAAUCUUCCGAAAUGGGCGAAACCCUGACGGAGCAACGCCGCGUGAGUGAUGAAGGUCUUCGGAUCGUAAAACUCUGUUAUUAGGAAAGCAAAAAUGUUUAAGUAACUAUCCCCCUUUUACCGGUCCCUAAUCAAAAAGCCCCGGCUAACUAAGU
rnacentral:rRNA from 1 species